CACAAAUUUGAUCACUUUGGCAAUCUGUACACAUUGCUGUGUAACAAUUUGUAUACGUUGGCACAGUGCUAUCAAAGCUGCAUGCAAGUGUUUUUUGAAAGGAUACAACAUGGGAUGUGAUAUUCAUGUGUGUGUGCCUGCUUUGUCCACAGCCUGUGCUGUAUGAAUCACAUUUCUUGCAACUGAAAUGCUAAUGGCAUGGUAAAGUUCAUGUGACAUGACACAAGCUUGAGAUUCAUGAUGUGCAAGUACCAUGAGGGAAAUGUGAAAAGGACUUUGGAAAGAGAAUUAAAUAAAGCCUGCAUUUGCUGACAAUGAAAGCAAGUGUGGAUGUUCAUGUAAUUGUUACUGCAUCAAUCAAUGUUCAUCUUGGUUACUGCAUGCUUUAUAUUACAGCUCAGAACAUGAAGUGUGUGUAACAGCUCUGCUUUGAUUUUUCCCACAUGGGAUCAGUUGAAACAUUGUGAGAGCACUCUUCAGUUUCCUUAUGUACCCACCAGCUUUGUCCACUCGCGUGUUGGCACACAUGUAAUGAUGAUGUGUUUAUGCAAGAUACUUCUGUGCUCAACAACAUGUUGUGUCAAUCCUCACUUGACCCGUCUUGAAACACGGACCAAGGAGUCUGGCAAGUGUGCAAACCAACUUUCUGUAGAGAUUUGUAUGUAAUGAACAUGUUUGUAUCAUUAUUGCACCACCAAUCAAUAUUCAGCUCGU
rnacentral:rRNA from 1 species